CUGGUUCCCACGAGCCUACCAGCAACCAUGUUUUCUUGUCUGAGGAGCACGAAGACUUCUCUGCUCUGGUUGCAGCUACUGAGUACUCCCAUCAACAGGAGAAGAAAGCUCCAACAGGUCUCCCAGAAACUCAAAAAGAUCAGAAGGAUGAGGAAAGAGAUGAGCCAACAGCCCCCAGCUGGGAGCUGCAGGAGGAGGAGGAAAUGGAUGAUGCGUGUCAGGAUUCUUUGGAUGAAAAGUAUUUGGCUCUUUCCAGUCACCAUGACUUGUCUGACUCCUGCCACCCUCCCGACAGUCCCACCAUCCCAUCUGAUGAGCAUGAAAUCUGCUCUCGUCUGGAUGGAGCCCAAAGUCAUGAAGACGAGGAGUAUGUGGAAGAGAGAGAACCACUGUCCAAAAUGAACGACCAGGGGAGGGUAAAGGACAGGGAGUUUGAUUUUCUAAUUCGAGUUCAGGCACGAGAGCUGACCCAGUUAUGCCUAAAGACACGGGAAGGAAGAGAGCUAUCGGUCCUCCUUAAUCAGAACCUCAAGGAGCUACUGGGCCGCAGUGACCUUAACAACCUCCGGGGGCAGGCCUUCCAAGAGCAAUUGGCUGAGGGAUGCAGGCUGUCCCAGGCCCUUGGCAGCAAGCUCGGCCCAGAAAACCACGAAGAGGAGGCUGAAGAACAACUGGGAUCACUGACCCCCAGGAAAUACCAUUUCCUCAUUCAUGAUCAUGCACGAAAGCUGACCCAGAUACGCCAGACGUCACGGGAAGGAAGAGAGCUCUCUGUCCUCCUCCAUCAGGACCUCAGGGACCUCCUCACCCACAGUGACAUUGGCAGAGACUGGGGACAGGGCUUCCAAGAACAACUGGCUGAGGGAUCCAGGCUGGCAGAGCACCUUGUCCGCAAGCUUAGCCCAGAAAACCUGGAAGACGAUGACGAGGAGGAA
rnacentral:lncRNA from 1 species